rnacentral:rRNA from 1 species
GGGGCAUCAGGAAGAAGCUUGCUUUCUUUGCUGGCGACCGGCGCACGGGUGAGUAACACGUAUCCAACCUGCCCUUUACUCGGGGAUAGCCUUUCGAAAGAAAGAUUAAUACCCGAUAGUAUAAUGAUUCCGCAUGGUUUCAUUAUUAAAGGAUUCCGGUAAAGGAUGGGGAUGCGUUCCAUUAGGUUGUUGGUGAGGUAACGGCUCACCAAGCCUUCGAUGGAUAGGGGUUCUGAGAGGAAGGUCCCCCACAUUGGAACUGAGACACGGUCCAAACUCCUACGGGAGGCAGCAGUGAGGAAUAUUGGUCAAUGGGCGUUAGCCUGAACCAGCCAAGUAGCGUGAAGGAUGAAGGCUCUAUGGGUCGUAAACUUCUUUUAUAUAAGAAUAAAGUGCAGUAUGUAUACUGUUUUGUAUGUAUUAUAUGAAUAAGGAUCGGCUAACUCCGUGCCAGCAGCCGCGGUAAUACGGAGGAUCCGAGCGUUAUCCGGAUUUAUUGGGUUUAAAGGGAGCGUAGGUGGACUGGUAAGUCAGUUGUGAAAGUUUGCGGCUCAACCGUAAAAUUGCAGUUGAUACUGUCAGUCUUGAGUA